rnacentral:rRNA from 1 species
GACGAACGCUGGCGGCGUGCCUAAUACAUGCAAGUUGAGCGCUGAAGGUUGGUACUUGUACCAACUGGAUGAGCAGCGAACGGGUGAGUAACGCGUGGGGAAUCUGCCUUUGAGCGGGGGACAACAUUUGGAAACGAAUGCUAAUACCGCAUAAAAACUUUAAACACAAGUUUUAAGUUUGAAAGAUGCAAUUGCAUCACUCAAAGAUGAUCCCGCGUUGUAUUAGCUAGUUGGUGAGGUAAAGGCUCACUAAGGCGAUGAUACAUAGCCGACCUGAGAGGGUGAUCGGCCACAUUGGGACUGAGACACGGCCCAAACUCCUACGGGAGGCAGCAGUAGGGAAUCUUCGGCAAUGGACGAAAGUCUGACCGAGCAACGCCGCGUGAGUGAAGAAGGUUUUCGGAUCGUAAAACUCGGUUGGUAGAGAAGAACGUUGGUGAGAGUGGAAAGCUCAUCAAGUGACGGUAACUACCCAGAAAGGGACGGCUAACUACGUG